GACGAACGCUGGCGGCGUGCUUAACACAUGCAAGUCGAACGGAAAGGCCCCCACCUUGGUGGGGGUGCUCGAGUGGCGAACGGGUGAGUAACACGUGGGUGAUCUGCCCUGCACUUCGGGAUAAGCUUGGGAAACUGGGUCUAAUACCGGAUAGGACCAUGGUUUAGUGUCUCACGGUGGAAAAAUUAUUGUUUUGUGCAGGAUGAGCUCGCGGCCUAUCAGCUUGUUGGUGGGGUAAUGGCCUACCAAGGCGUCGACGGGUAGCCGGCCUGAGAGGGUGGACGGCCACAUUGGGACUGAGAUACGGCCCAGACUCCUACGGGAGGCAGCAGUGGGGAAUAUUGCACAAUGGGCGCAAGCCUGAUGCAGCGACGCCGCGUGGGGGAUGACGGCCUUCGGGUUGUAAACUCCUUUCGUUAGGGACGAAGCCACACCUUUUUUUGGGUGUGGUGACGGUACCUUUGUUAAGAAGCACCGGCUAACUACGUGCCAGCAGCCGCGGUAAUACGUAGGGUGCGAGCGUUGUCCGGAAUUACUGGGCGUAAAGAGCUCGUAGGUGGUUUGUUGCGUCGUCUGUGAAAUUCCGGGGCUUAACUUCGGGGUGGCAGGCGAUACGGGCAUAACUAGAGUGCUGUAGGGGAGACUGGAAUUCCUGGUGUAGCGGUGGAAUGCGCAGAUAUCAGGAGGAACACCGAUGGCGAAGGCAGGUCUCUGGGCAGUAACUGACGCUGAGGAGCGAAAGCAUGGGGAGCGAACAGGAUUAGAUACCCUGGUAGUCCAUGCUGUAAACGGUGGGCGUUAGGUGUGGGGACCGGUUUGGUUUCUGUGCCGUAGCUAACGCAUUAAGCGCCCCGCCUGGGGAGUACGGCCGCAAGGCUAAAACUCAAAGGAAUUGACGGGGGCCCGCACAAGCGGCGGAGCAUGUGGAUUAAUUCGAUGCAACGCGAAGAACCUUACCUGGGUUUGACAUGCACCAGACGGUUGUAGAGAUACGUACCUCCC
rnacentral:rRNA from 1 species